AUGGUCAGCGGUCACUGUAUGUAAAAUAGAUGUAAAACUGCUACUUCCGCGCUAUUUUCUCCGCACUGUUUAUCCAUGUGUUUAUCUUAUGAUUUAUCGCUAUGUUUUGUUCAAAUUGUGGACGAUCAUGUGGGGAUUCGGAUAGAUUCUGUACAAAUUGUGGUACAACUAGUCUUUAGCAAGAGGGACGAGCCCCCCAGCAAUACACCCCUGGAUAAUGCAUUCAGUGCACCAAGUACAAAUUACAUAUUCUAGCUCAAGGAGGACCAGCUCUGAAAUGUUUGGACGACAGUGUCUUUAAUCUAAUGGCGGAAGCUCAGAAUUUGCGUCCUCGGCAAUUUGAUACUUACAAUCAUUUAACACCGUCUGACAAGAAGAUGGCAGCUCAAUGAAGCAAGUAGAAGAGGCUAUUAUGGAUCACUUGCAAGACUUCCUGUUUAAGAUUGAAGAUGAUAAAACCUUAUUAGGAUUCCCUGAAGCAAUUUCGUUCAACCACAGUGAAGAUGAGGAUGAUGUCUCAAAGCAAUUCAAAGGUGAUGAUAUUUUUCAAGCACCUGAUCUCUCCCCUGCAGGAAUUAUGGGGUGGUUGACUGGACAGAAACAUAAGCCACUAAAUGGUGAACUUAUUUCUAUAACAGUUAGAUUUGAUCAUGAUUGCACAAAAAGGAAUCCGCAGCACAAAAUAUGCUUCCCCCAAGUGGGUGCAUGUGCUAAGGUUCUUACAUUACCUGUGCUGCACAUGAAAACUGCAAAGGAGUUUGAAGAACUAUUUCUAAUGGCAUUUUCCAAAGGCCAGUCUUUUGGUAAGGCAUAGAUACCAUCAUUUAUAAGAAUGAAUGUACCUUGUAUUUUUAUCAAUCUUUUGUUAUUAGUGAUUAUGUUUAUGUUUCACUUUGACUCAGCUGUUGCUUUUAGAAAUUGUUUUGAUUUAUGAACAGUCUUUUGCUUACAGUCAUAGAAAUUAGAUCUUAUACUAAAGAGGCAUACUUAUUAUAGAAUCCAUUAAUUCAUAGUUCUGUUAGUUCAUAUUUUUGGUUUAUUUUGACAAGAUUAAACAUUUAUCAU